rnacentral:tRNA from 1 species
UCCGGCGUAGCUCAGUUGGUAGAGCAAGCGGCUGUUAACCGCUGGGUCGUAGGUUCGAGUCCUACCGCCGGAGCCA